AUUCACAGAGAUAUGCAAAAACCCAGCGGGUAGAACAGGAACAUGCUAUUUAUUCACGCAGCUGAAUGGGCCUCUCUUGGAAUCAACGUGUGGCACCUUUCUUAUUACCCUGACUGCAAAAAGAGCCCAAAUGGAAAGGCCUUGGUAGCUUAAUGUCUCAGCCUUCAAUGAUGCUAUUAAUAGAACUGGGAUCGUUUAUCAACCUCUCACGAUAUUUCCUGUAGAGAGGACCAUCACAACACACGUGACAAGAUGUGGGCAGACGAGAGGGGAGUCUAAAUGUGGCCCUGCACCUGUUGGUGAGAACAAGGACACGGCUGGAGAGGAUUCUGAAGGAAGCCAUGCCGCCCAUAGCCAUGUUUAGGCAAGUGGGUAGAGCCGCAGGCUUUCUCAAGAUGCUCUUAAAUUGCCCUGGAGGAGAGUGAAUGUCGUCCUGUUGCUGUAAGUUGCUGGUGGGGAGGGGUACGAUGGCAUGAAGAAGAAAAUGAAAGGAACUGAGAAUAGGAGAGGGUUUCUGUCAACUGUGCUAGAACAAAUAAGAAACAUAUAGAUGAUAGGUAGUUCCCACUUCUGGAAUUAAUGUGUAAGUCUUAAUUCUUAGAUUCUUAAAAUUCUGAAUUCUGAUUUUAAAAAAAGAAAAGAAAAUGGUGAGAAUUGAAAAUGAUAGGAGACUUGAGAGAGAAUAACCAUAUCGUGUUGGAGUUUGUUUAAAAAGGAAUGCUCGCCCUCCUUUUCCUAGCGCUGGAUCUCACCCUAACAGUGUGAAAGGUUAAACGAACUAGUUCCCUUAGAAGAAUGAUGGAGUGUUACUGUGAGCCAGGCAUGGUGCUGGGUGCUUUGCAUACAAUGUAUAAUUUAGUCCAUGAUAAUCCUCAGGGUAGAUAUUAUUCUCAUUUUUCAGUGAGUUUACUUACAUUUAGAGAGGACAGUAAGUUAUUCAGUGAGCCCCCCUGAGUUCACUGAGUAAAGGUAGGUGGGUUAUACCAAGACAGGCAGGCAGACCCGUAUCGUGGAUAACUUGGAUUAAAGACCCAGUUUAUUCCCUCAGUGACUCUCAACGCAAAGGAGCUGAGAGGGGAUCACGCACCAUGUCCCUCUUCCCCAGUGAAGAAAUCAGCUAUAUAACUGGAUGUUGUGGAGGAAUCAAGGUUGAAAGACCGCUGCUUUUAAUUUAUCUUUUUAAACAUUUAUGAAAGCAAAACACGUUUAAGAAUGUUUUUUGAAAUGUUGAAAAUCAUCUCUGGACCAUAUACCUCUGCUGUUAGCAUCUGAUGCAUUUCUUGGAAAGGUUUUUCUUAUGCAUUUUUCUAGCUAUUGAUAUAGACAUGAUAAUGUAGUAUACAGAGUUUUAUAUCCUGUUUGUUUUCCCCACUUAACAUAAUGUCAUAAGUAUGUCAUCCUCAAUUUAUAUUGUUUCAAUUGAAAGAUUUUAAGUAUAAGAGUAGAGUAUGGUGGCGUAUUAAAAUUUGCAUUUUAUGGACCUGUUCUCACACUUCUAGGUACCACUACCCAUUUUGUUGGGAUGGAGUUUAACGGUGUCCCCUGCCAUGCUUCUAAUUUCCAGUCUUGGAAGCUAGCAGGUUGUGUUUGCAGCCCAUAUUGGCAUUUAUCCUGACUGACCUCUACACAUAUUUGCUUACUGUGUUAUUUAUGUUAAUGUCUACUUUCUCGAAUAUGGCUCUCAGUCAGUUUCUCUUUCUCUGGUAGGCUCUUAA